rnacentral:rRNA from 1 species
UAAAACGUAGGAGGCUAGCGUUAUCCGGAUUUACUGGGCGUAAAGCGCGUGCAGGUGGUUUCGUAAGUUGGAUGUGAAAGCUCCUAGCUUAACUGGGAGAGGUCGUUCAAGACUGCGGGACUAGAGAGUGGUAGAGGAAGGUGGAAUUCCGGGUGUAGUGGUGAAAUGCGUAGAUAUCCGGAGGAACACCAGUGGCGAAAGCGGCCUUCUGGACCAUUUCUGACACUCAGACGCGAAAGCUAAGGUAGCAAACGGGAUUAGAGACCCCGGUAGUCUUAGCUGUAAACGAUGUGAACUUGGCGUCGGUGGGUUCAAAUCCAUCGGUGCCGAAGCAAACGCGAUAAGUUCACCGCCUGGGGACUACGGCCGCAAGGUUAAAACUUAAAUGAAUUGACGG